rnacentral:rRNA from 1 species
CGAGGAAUAUUGGUCAAUGGACGAAAGUCUGAACCAGCCAAGUAGCGUGCAGGAUGACGGCCCUCUGGGUUGUAAACUGCUUUUAGUUGGGAAUAAAAAAGAGGACGUGUCCUCUAUUGUAUGUACCUUCAGAAAAAGGACCGGCUAAUUCCGUGCCAGCAGCCGCGGUAAUACGGAAGGUCCAGGCGUUAUCCGGAUUUAUUGGGUUUAAAGGGAGCGUAGGCGGAUUAUUAAGUCAGUGGUGAAAGACGGUGGCUCAACCAUCGUUAGCCAUUGAAACUGGUAGUCUUGAGUGCAGACAGGGAUGCUGGAACUCGUGGUGUAGCGGUGAAAUGCUUAGAUAUCACGAUGAACUCCGAUCGCGAAGGCAGGUGUCCGGGCUGCAACUGACGCUGAGGCUCGAAAGUGUGGGUAUCAAACAGGAUUAGAUACCCUGGUAGUCCACACAGUAAACGAUGUAUACUCGCGGUUUGCGAUAUAAUGUAAGCCGCCNAGCGAAAGCAUUAAGUAUACCACCUGGGGAGUACGCCGGCNACGGU